GUUGGUUACACAGGGGUAGGAAGGCUCAAUGUAUAAAAAGGUGGUAUAUAUCUAAGUCAGAUGAUUGUAAGAUGUUAGAGCAAUACCAGGAGAGACAGGAUUAUGGUCCUAAGAGUUUGAUGGAAGGACUCAAUGGGCCUGGUGCUUUGGAACUGAAGGGACACUACAAUUUGUACCGGGAUCUCUGAACAGGGGGUGUGGUCUAGUGAGUGUCAGACCUCUGAAGACAGUGUUGCCUAGUGGGCACUCAGAUUGCUGAUGUGGAAAGACAGAUCUUAACAGGAAGCCAACUGGCAAGGAAGCUUAGGAACUGUACUUUGGAGAAUUUCAUCUCCACCCUCUCAGAACAGUACACAGAAGGUUGGACUGGUUUCUGAAAGACAAAGAUGAGAAAUGAAGAUAAGAAAAUAACACUUUCCAGCUUUGAUUACUUCUCUAAUUUGGAUCUUUAUAAAGUAAUGGAAGAAAAGCAGGUGAGGAAGGGGUCCUGACCUAAGAAGAAACUGCUUUUAAAAGGAAAAAGACCCCCUCCUGUUAUUCUACACCAACCUGAAAGGAGCCCACCACCUUUCCCCCACAUGAACAGCUCCCUGAUAGGUAAGUAGGAUUCCUGAUUCUCCUCCUGAAUCUUGUGCUGAAGCACAAGGUUGAAAUGACUGGCCUUUUCAGCUAAAGGAAGACCGUUUGUAAUAAAGAAUAAAGUCUUCCUUGAGGACUCAGAUCAAACAUCACUGAAAUUGUCACAAGUUCUCUUUUUCAUCCCGUGGCUGCAUGCAUAUUUAUGUUCUUACCCAUGUAUUUUCCUCCCAGUCAUGUGGACACCCGUGGUGGACAGCGGACAUGAACAGACAUUUCUGCAAAGAAGACAUCCAGAUGGCCAACAGACACAUGAAAAAGUGCUCCAUAUCACUCAGCAUCAGGGAAAUACAAAUCAAAACCACGAGAUAUCACCUCACACCAGUCAGAAUGGCUAAAAUCAACAAGUCAGGAAAUGACAGAUGCUGGCGAGGAUGCGGAGAAAGGGGAACCCUCCUACACUGUUGGUGGUAGAAAUGCAAGCUGGUGCAGCCACUCUGGAAAACAGCAUGGAGGUUCCUCAAAAUGUUGAAAAUAGAACUGCCCUAUGACCCAGCAAUUGCACUAUUGGGUAUUUACCCUAAAGAUACAAACGUAGUGAUCCAAAGGGGCACGUGCACCCGAAUGUUUAUAGCAGCAAUGUCCACAAUAGCCAAACUAUGGAAAGAACCUAGAUGUCCAUCAACAGAUGAAUGGAUCAAGAAGAUGUGGUAUAUAUACACAAUGGAAUACUAUGCAGCCAUCAAAAGAAAUGAAAUCUUGCCAUUUGCGACAACAUGGAUGGAACUAGAGCGUAUCAUGCUUAGUGAAAUAAGUCAAGCGGAGAAAGACAACUAUCAUAUGAUCUCCCUGAUAUGAGGAAGUGGUGAUGCAACAUGGGGGCUUAAGUGGGUUGGAGAAGAAUCAAUGAAACAAGAUGGGAUUGGGAGGGAGACAAACCAUAAGUGACUCUUAAUCUCACAAAAGAAACUGAGGGUUGCUGGGGGGAGGGGUUUUGGGAGAAGGAGGUGGGAUUAUGGACAUUGGGGAGGGUAUGUGCUUUGGUGAGUGCUGUGAAGUGUGUAAACUGGUGAUUCACAGACCUGUACCCCUGGGGAUAAAAAUAUAUGUUUAUAAAAAAUUAAAAAUUAAAAAAAAAUAAAAUAAAAUGGACUAUUUCUAAAUCUGUGGGAAAUGUUCUGUUUCAAAUUUCAUUGGGAGCAAGAUGAAUUAAAGAGAUGCUUUUCCUUGGGUACCUUAAUAAAUUGCUUCUAAAACUUAAUUCUUUUCAGAUACUUUGUAACAUAAUAGUCUCUUACUCCUCAGUGCUUUUAACUGUGAUAAUGUUCUUCUGGAUAACAUGUUUUCACUGUUUGUAUUUACCACAAUUCCUUUUGAAUUAGGCAUUAAAGUAAGUUUUU